CGCCAUUUUGCUCUUCUUUGCGAGUUGCAAAAGCUGUCUGCUGUUUGAAGUGUAUUGACGCUCUGCAUUUGGUUUGAGACGAUUUGCAAGUUGUCCAGAACAAUUGUUUGGCUGUCGAGUCGCUUUUCUGAAGAUUUCACGUCGAUCUUUAGAUCUAGAAUCUAGUAUCUUUGUCUUCCAGAGAUCCAUUCGUUCCUGAGCUGAAGGAGAAGAGUCCUGCCCUCUCGAUCUCUUUGUCUUUGCCGCCGCCAUGGGGAAUUCUUCGUCUCUUUUCACCGCUGAAUCGCUACUUCGUCUAGGUGAGCGUCUUGACUUGGAGGAAGGCCAGUUCUAUGGCCUGGAAGGAGAGUACAUGUUCUGUGGAUUAGAGGCGUUCCACCAGAGGACGGAGAGACACGUUGGACCGGCAAGAGAGGACGAGUCACCGGAGAGCCCGUCAUGAAGCCGGAAGACGUGGUCACUCAGCAGACCUAAAGCCAAGACUGGCCUGAGUCGGAUUUCCAGCAGAGACUGCCACAGUUCCCCUUCCCCAUCCCCUCCCUUGCAGAAGUUGGAAGUACUGGGCCUCAUCGUGGCGCAAGGGUGAACACCCUGUUCAAACCACACUACACGUGUCAUGCUGAAACAGGAGCAGACUGUGUGGAGAGGUUUGAGCUGGGUGGCCAACACAGUACUACACUCACCAGUGUGAAGGAUGAAUGGAGAGUCUAUAGGCAAGUGUGCAAAAUGGAAGAGGAAGGCAGCAACCCCCUCCUCUAGAUCUGUCCCUUCCUCAACAAACUUGCGGAAACUUUCACCACCAAUGUCUACCCCCAACGUCAACAUGGCUGUCGACAAAGGCACGUUGGCGUGGAGUGGCAGACUCGAGUCUUAGCUACCCAGUGUACUGCCCAGACA